ensembl:snRNA U6 U6 spliceosomal RNA
GUGCUCGCUUCGGCAGCACAUAUACUAAAAUUGGAACAAUACAGAGAAGAUUAGUAUGGCCCCUGUGCAAGGAUGACAUGCAAAUUCGUGAAGCGUUCCAUAUUUUU